rnacentral:rRNA from 1 species
UACAGAGGGUGCGAGCGUUAAUCGGACUUAUUGGGCGUAAAGCGCGUGUAGGCGGUUCGAUAAGUCUGCUGUGAAAGUCCAGGGCUCAACCCUGGAAAGCCGGUGGAUACUGUCAGACUAGAGUGCGGAAGAGGCGAGUGGAAUUCCCGGUGUAGCGGUGAAAUGCGCAGAUAUCGGGAGGAACACCAAUUGCGAAGGCAGCUCGCUGGGACGUUACUGACGCUGAGACGCGAAAGCGUGGGGAGCAAACAGGG